GGCCGAACGGUCUGGGCCGUGCGGCGGUGGCCCAGGAGGCGGCGGGACGGUCAGGGCAGGCGUGAGAGCCCUCGGAACAGCCCGGCAGGGGACCUGCUUUCAGCAGCUGGCUCUUCGGGCAAGACUGACGUCAUUUUCUUAGUGGCUGUGUUCAAAACCACCCAAAGGAAGAGGCUUGCAAGGCUGGAUUCAGUCAUCUAGUUUGUGGGUCAGUGUUCUGAGAAGGGGUAUCGUGCCCAAAGUGCCAGCUGUUUAACAGUAAUGCCCCCUGGAUCGUGCCUGGAACUGGUGAGCCAAAGGAUGUUGGGGCUGGAACAGACGAGGCAGGAGAAGAGGAAAGCAGGGUGACUUUGCCUGGUGGAGCCGGCUGCAGAAGGUGUGUGUGCAUCCAAGGACUAGACCCCACAUGGCCCAUCACGUACCCAGGGGGCCGGUCACGCUCAUAGACCCCACGUGGCCCAUCACGUACCCAGGGGGCCGGUCACGGUCAUAGACCCCACGUGGCCCAUCACGUACCCAGGGGGCCGGUCACGCUCAUAGACCCCACGUGGCCUAUCACGUACCCAGGGGGCCGGUCACGCUCAUAGACCCCACGAGGCCCAUCAGGUACCCAGGGGGCCGGUCACUGCUGUGCUUGGGCUUUGUGCAGUCGCUCUGCUUGUUCUUGGAGCAAGCUGAUUCAAAGAUUCUAAGAAACAAACUUAAAAUUAUGACAACGUGGAGAUUUCCAUCUGAAUUUUAAAAGACCCAGAUAAGAGAUAACCCCAGAAGUGUUGGCUCUUUGUGGGUCUUCUGCCUCUCCCAGGUGCUUUGCUGAGCUGCUGUGUUUGUUGUGUUUACAUGUGCCAAGCGGAGGCCUUUCCUCCCAAGGACCCCGGCUUUGGCUUCACCACGCACACAGCAUGGUGGAGUGUGAGGAGGGAGCAUUUGAUGAUGUCUCUCAUAAUAUCUGAUAAAAGAAGUCGCUGUUUCAUGAAGGAAACCACCCUCGUUUAACCGUAAAAUGUGUU